AACGCUAGCUACAGGCUUAACACAUGCAAGUCGAGGGGAAACGACAUCGAAAGCUUGCUUUUGAUGGGCGUCGACCGGCGCACGGGUGAGUAACGCGUAUCCAACCUGCCCACCACUUAAGGAUAACCUUGCGAAAGUAAGACUAAUACCCAAUGAUAUCUCUAGAAGGCAUCUGAAAGAGAUUAAAGAUUUAUCGGUGAUGGAUGGGGAUGCGUCUGAUUAGCUUGUUGGCGGGGUAACGGCCCACCAAGGCAACGAUCAGUAGGGGUUCUGAGAGGAAGGUCCCCCACAUUGGAACUGAGACACGGUCCAAACUCCUACGGGAGGCAGCAGUGAGGAAUAUUGGUCAAUGGACGAGAGUCUGUACCAGCCAAGUAGCGUGCAGGAUGACGGCCCUAUGGGUUGUAAACUGCUUUUAUAAGGGAAUAAAGUGAGAGUCGUGACUCUUUUUGCAUGUACCUUAUGAAUAAGGACCGGCUAAUUCCGUGCCAGCAGCCGCGGUAAUACGGAAGGUCCGGGCGUUAUCCGGAUUUAUUGGGUUUAAAGGGAGCGUAGGCCGGAGAUUAAGCGUGUUGUGAAAUGUAGACGCUCAACGUCUGCACUGCAGCGCGAACUGGUUUCCUUGAGUACGCACAAAGUGGGCGGAAUUCGUGGUGUAGCGGUGAAAUGCUUAGAUAUCACGAAGAACUCCGAUUG
rnacentral:rRNA from 1 species